CAUAUCCAGUUCAAGUGUAGGGCCACAGCCCCUGGUGCACACCUGGUGUCAGUGCAUAGUAAAAAGCAUAAUGAUUACUUGCUCUGCAUGGUGCAAAAAUUCAACCCAAACAACCUGCGCUUCUGGCUUGGAGCCUUUGAAUUAUUUAAGUCUGGUACAUUUCUUUGGACUAAUGGAUCCUUUUAGGAUUUUCAAAUUUGGACACGUGGUGAGCCCAACCACAUGUACACUAGCACAGAGGAAUGUGUGGAGAUGAACUGGAAAGAGACUGGCAAAUGGAAUGACGCCUCUUGUCAUGUUAAGAAAAGCUACAUAUGUGCCUUCAAGUGGGAUGCUGUCUUGAAACGAG